GGCCUACCAUGGUGACAACGGGUAACGGGGAAUUAGGGUUUGAUUCCGGAGAGGGAGCCUGAGAAACGGCUCCCGGACCUACGGGACACAGCAGGCGCGCAAAUUACCCAAUCCCAACACGGGGAGGUAGUGACAAUAAAUAACAAUACGGGGUUCUUUCGGAUCUCGUAAUUGGAAUGAGUACAAUUUAAAUCUCUUAACGAGGAACAAUUGGAGGGCAAGUCUGGUGCCAGCAGCCGCGGUAAUUCCAGCUCCAAUAGCGUAUAUUAAAGUUGUUGCAGUUAAAAAGCUCGUAGUUGAAUUUCGGGAUCAUCAUGUCGGUCGUGCCUCCGGUACGUACUGGCAUCGUUGAUUUCUACCUUCUGACGAACCAUGAUGUCAUUAAUUUGGUGUCAUGGGGAAUCAGGACUGUUACUUUGAAAAAAUUAGAGUGUUUAAAGCAGGCACACGCUUGAAUACAUUAGCAUGGAAUAAUGAAAUAGGACGUUUGACCCUAUUUUGUUGGUUUCUAGGAUCGACGUAAUGAUUAAUAGGGAUAGUUGGGGGCAUUAGUAUUCAAUUGUCAGAGGUGAAAUUCUUGGAUUUAUUGAAGACUAACUACUGCGAAAGCAUUUGCCAAGGAUGUUUUCAUUAAUCAAGAACGAAAGUUAGGGGAUCGAAGACGAUCAGAUACCGUCGUAGUCUUAACCAUAAACUAUGCCGACUAGGGAUCGGAUGAUGUUAAUUUUUUAAUGACUCAUUCGGCGCCUUACG
rnacentral:rRNA from 1 species